rnacentral:lncRNA from 1 species
GAGAGGGCUGAUGGGACUUCUUGGUAACAAUACUGGAAAGGAUAUAGUUGGGACAUGGCUACUAGGCAAGAAGAAAAAUUACCAGGGAAACAGGGGAAGAAGUGAAGAAGAUAAACCUGACGAGCUCAAUCCUGCAUUCUAAACAUGAAGCCAUUCAAGCAAGCAGAUGCCUGGUUUCUAAGUGAGCACGUUGAUGGCACUCCCCUCAGCACACCCAAAUGGCCUGUACUGCAGACACUGUUCUGGACACGUUUGCUGUCUUGCUUUUAGUAAUUAAAUCACUAGCAGUACUCAUAAAUAGUCUACAGAUUCAAAAAAAUCUUGAAACAACUAUAUAUCCCUUAUAAUAUUUAAUAUACUUUUUGGCCACAUUCAAAUUGUGGUUGGACUUGAUGAUCUUUAAGGUGCUUUCCAACCUGAGCAAUUCUAUGAUUUUGAUUCUAAAUCUACUCAACUCCAUGUAGUUUGGAAGGGGUUUGAAUCAAAUUCUUUUCAAGAGUCCCCAGUGCUCAUCAGCCCCACUUAGGAGCUGGGGAAGACAAGAACUACAGUGCAAGCUUUUUGGUUUUGUUUGAGCUGGUUGAAUACCUACAGACCUGAAUGAGGACUGUCAAGGUAAUAAAAUGAGAUGUCUAUCUGCAGUCCAGAGAAAAAGGAAUUGCACACACGGGAAGAAAAAAUGCAGAAUUUAAAGAGAAAUCUGCCACAAAUUUUAAGCUUCUGGAGCCUUUGCGGGGAACUUCACCCAUAAUUGACGCCAAUGUAAAUCACAAGAACUUAACAAUUUUCUCCUAAAAUAUAACAUUGAAUUUACUGGUAAUAGCACACACGUAUAAUUUGGGAAUAGUACCUGAAGACGUCAUUCAUUUAUUAUUAGUUGUCACCGCUCACAGCUUGCAAUUAAAUAAAAUGAGAAUCUAUUAAAAUUCAGUGUCAGCUAUUAGUAAAGUCCACGGCAAAAAGGACAGCAAGAAAAAUCAUACCAGCUGGUCUCUGGUUACAGGAAAAGGCUGUCAGGGCAGGCAUUGCCUCUACCUCACUAACAUCACCUCCAGCUGCAGGACAACAGGGGGUCCCUCUCUGCUACACCCAUAGGCAUUACCCCAAAUGCUGCACAGUUCUGCUGACUUCAGAUGGACCCGUUACUGAACUGGGUUUGAUGCUGAUGUCCAGCUGAAACUAAUCAAAAGUCCAGGCUCUUUGGACCCCAAUAGGACAAAACUCCUAAUGAAGAUGAAUGUAGGACAAUAGAGGGAAUGAAAGGGUAUCUGGUCUCAUCUACUCCGCAAGGUAGAUUUACACUCAAGAGAAUAAAAAUGAUUGAGUUGUGUCCUUUUUAAAUGUUAUCUUUCUAUCUCUCCUAUUUAGCGCAUCUCAGUGCUUUUUUCUGUUUCUUUAGAGCUCUACAUAAGAUGUCUUUGUGCGUUUCCUCCAAGAGCUGCCCUGGGAGAUCUAUGAAUUAAUCUCUCUCCUCACACCAAACCCAUGGCACAGAAAAUCUAUUUCUCC